UCCCCCAAACCCCACAGCCAGCUGCGCGCGCGCACAGUUCGAGGGGUGAGGGGUAACCGUUGCCUUCUCUGCUCCUCCAUCACCGUUUUAAUCGUCCUUCUCGUCAGGGUAGGCUCUUGGCCUACAGCAGUACACCCCUGAAAAGAGACUGGGCCGGUUUAGGAUUACACAGACCUCCAGCGUCCGCAGGUUUUCUGUUUUAUCCAAGACGGGCUGGAGCAGGUAUAUGGAACUCACUGCCUAAAAGAGUGCUCGAGGCAGGAACCCUCAGGACAUCUAAGGAGUGUUUAGAUGAGCGCUUGAAAUACCAUAUGAUACAAUGUUAUUUCCAAGCAUUGGAAAAUGACCAGCAUGGACACAAUGGGCCAAAGGGUUUCUUUCCUUGCGGUGCUAGCAGUGGACCACUGAACCUACAACAGAAAUGGAGACCCUCAAUUCCAACUCCACCUUGAGGAGGAAGUCACCGAACCCUCAGAGGAUGUACCAGGAAGGCUCUCAACUCCACAGUCCAAUCAGGAGAUUUCAACAGAGUUACAUUCACAGUUGAUAGUACACCAGUCAUGCUUUGUUGCAUUUUUGCAGAAGUGAUCCUGACUUCCCCUCUUUUGUCAAUUACCACAUUAUAAUCAACCAACAAGCAUUAGUGAGUAAAAUUAUGGACUUUUCUCAUGUAGUUGUUAAAAUUAUAAACUCAAUUCCAGCAAGAGCCCUCUUGCAUCCCUUGACUAAAUCUUUGCUCAUCAAAUGUGAUGCUGCCUACGGUGAACUAGUCCUCUUGGCUGAUUUGAGGUAGUUAAGUCGAGCGAAGGUCGUGAUUUUUAGAUCUAAUUCCUGAAAUUGUCACUUUUCUAAAAUCAAGAAAUUUUAUGUGUACAUUGAGCUGUCAGACAAUGCAUGGUUACUUGACUUCAGGUUCCUUACAAAUGUAACUUUAAAACUGGACAAGCUGAGCUGUGAACUACAGAGAAAGAUUUAGUACGUGGGAUCAGUGCUGUGAAUGCAUUCAAAUUGAAGCAGGGUCUGUGAUUUUUCCAAUUAAAAAAUAGAACACUUCAA